rnacentral:lncRNA from 1 species
GCCAAGAAAACACACAUGCAAGCACGUUGUCCAAAUAACAAUCCCAAUAUUCAAGUAAUUUACAAUUCGAGCGAGAAAAAAUAAACAGAAACAAUUCAAGGAUAUAGGAGCUCUCAGGAGCUAUUUUCCUCUUGCUUCGCCACGGCUCGAUCCGAUACCCCCUCGUGAUGACACUCCGUUAUCCUGGUGGGUAUUUUAUCCGUAGAAACUUCACUUAUUACUUCCUCC